CGUGGCUCCGUGGAUUAGGUAAAAGUGUCCUAGCUUGCUGUGUUGUUAAAUAUUACAUUUGUAAUCCAAAAUAUGAUUUCUUGACUUGGUGUCUGGUCUACUUUGAGUUGAGGCAAGUAAAGUGUGAGAUGGCAGUGCCAGCGGCCGGGGGUGUCGACCUCAGUCGUAAAUUUGUGUCAGAGACCGAGAUCGAGGAGAAAAGGAAGCAAAGACAGGAAGAAUGGGAAAAAGUUAGGAAGCCAGAGGACCCAGAGAAGGCUCCCGAGGAAGAGUAUGAUGGGCGUUCACUGUUUGAGCGGCUACAGGAGCAGAAGGACAAGAAGCAAGAGGAAUACGAUGAGCAAUUUAAAUUCAAGAACAUGGUCAAAGGCCUGGAUGAGGAUGAGUCUCACUUCUUGGAUGAGGUCUCCAGGCAACAGAGCCUGGUGGAGAAGCAACGCAGAGACGAGGAGCUGCAUGAACUAAAAGAAUACAGAAUAUCCUUUCAGUUUCGGUUGUAUACUCCCUCCCCAUAAUUCUAAGCUUCUCUCUUUAACACACACACAUACACACAGAGAGCAAAAACACGGCGUAUCCAUUAUCAUGUCAUUUUAUUGCAGAUUUUUUUUUUCUGUCAGCACGGCAAAAUUUAGUAGACAUGAGUCACACAAAUAAUGGAUCUAUGUGUCAGAGCUGAAUGUGAGAGCCAACUACUCUCAUACUCCCUGUGUUUCUCGCUCUUUUUCUCUGUCACAAUAUAUUGGUGGGGUUGAGUUUUUUGCUCUCUUGACAGUAGAUUAGGCACAUCUUACCUCUUUACUACCACUCUCAUCUGAUGGACAGGAGGAGGCAGUCAGUCUACAGGCUUCAGGUCAGUACCAGAGCAUGCGAGCGGAGUUGAGUGGUUGGAAAUCCUGCUCACCGCUCCGGCACUCUACUUCCUUUCCAACCUCUCCACUAAAAACUGCUCUGCGCUCACAGAAAAGAAAUUGCUGCUCCAAAUUCACUCCAUUCAUUAAAAUCACAAUUUAACCAACAGCCAUCUAUUGUUGUGACUACCUGGACCGACCAUUUGGUUUUGAUGUAUUGAAACCAAACCAUAUGAUUUGAGUAAACAUGAAAAGGUGAAUGUACAUCGUUUAAAAAAGGCUUCAUGUCAUAUUAAACUGCAUAUAAACACUGUAAAUAGGUCAGGAGCCAGACAGUGCCCAAGAAGGAACGAAAAGGAAUGAUUUAGUCUAUAUUAUUUCAAGGCUGUAGCCUACAAAGAAAUGCACAUUUAAAAAUGUAUUUAAUCAUUAUAGUCUAUCAACGGUGCAUAUAGGCUGUGCCUUACUUAGAAUUAAAUGUAAAUUUAGUGCCCUUGAAUACAUUUUUAGAAACACAAGUUUGGCCAGUCUGUAACUUCAUGCGAUGGUGCCUGGAGAGCCGGCCAGCAGAAUAUAUUCUCCACACUUACAGAGCCACUGGGGAUGCUAAACACCCUUUUGGCCACUCUUGCCAGGCUGAGCAGAGAGAGUUGUUUAUGCAUAUUUUUCUGUAGGUAGGCCUAAAGGUUUUUAGGCAAAAUAACCCAAUCAAAACGGAAAGCUCCUUGAACGUGGGAAUAUGCCAGGCCUAUUAUGCCAAAUCAAUUAUAGCCUAUUGUAUAGCUAAUAGAACAAAAAUGAACUAAACAUUUAAAAUAUCAGAUUUUUAGUUUAUAAAUACUUUGCUACAAUGACACUCUUAGUUAUCUACCCACCACGUUCAAUUCUUUUAGCAUGUGCACGUAGUAAGUACAACCAUCAUGCUUUAGGGAUACGUGUCUUUUCAGAUUCCACAAUGAUUGUUUAGUUGUGGACACUAGAUCACCACACUCCCUCUCUUGCUCUUGGUCCUCAUCUUUGUAAGUCACCUUGAUUUUUCACCUGUGUGUUUUAUCAGUUUCCUUAUUAAAAUAUUUAGCGACGGCAUGCCCUGAGCUUGUGAAGUGAGUGCUACUGGAGCGAAAUUGGAGCAGGCGAGAAGGGCGAUGCUCCAGCCUUUCGGAAUUUCGCUCCACGCUACAGUAAAAUUGGGCUCGCUCCGCUCACAUACUCUGGUCACAACGAGUGCUCUUCCACCUUGUUAGUGCUCCUACUAUCAAACAUGACAUACAGUAACAGCCUCAAACACAGAGAACCACAUUCUACAUGCCGAGAAACCAUUAGAUCAAAAAAUGUAUGGGUAAGAUUACAGUUUAAGGGUGCGUAGACUGUGACAGGCAGGUAAUUAGUGAUAACUUGAUUUGGCAUAUAAUCAUGAUAACCUCACAGUGAAGAGAUGAUUAGCCAUUCCUGAUCUGACACUGUUCCUUGCCAAACUUUCCAACCUGAAUGUUAAUGGUUUGAUCCUCAGCACGAACACUUUUACCACGCAAUUUUAUGAAUGAAAAAAAGCAUGAUCUCUUUUCUCUUAACAUGUAGUGGUUUUAAUUGAUCUAUUUUAAAGUGUGCUGUAUGCUUUGUAUGUCCACUUAACUGAUAUGAACGUAUGUUAAUGUAUGCAAAGCUGCUCUCACGCCACAUAUCUCAGCACUGCUCAGAGCCACGGUCCUGUGGUGAUUAAUUCUAAAUUCAGCCAUAGUUUAUAUCGUGACUGACUUGAUAGCCUGCAUUUCUCUUAAUCUUUCUCAAUCAGGCUGUCAUGUACAAGUAUGAUGCAUGGAGCAAGAUCAGACAAUUAUGCUAUUGUGUAAGGGAGAAAAUAAAUGUUCCCUCUUUCCACUGACGACCAGGUUUGUCUGCAGAUGGAAGAGGAUGCAUUGUCAUGGCAACCAAAUCCUACUGAGGGCUGGCUUUUACGCUGAUGGGAGACAGUUUGAAGUGCUUACUGCAGAGAACCAUCAACCAGAUCCUCUUGGCGUUGGUGGAGGCCCACAGACUAGUAAGUGGAAAGAACAGGCUGGAUUUAUGAGGACACACCUGGACUGUGGCUAGAUGAACCCCGAAUGCGAUUCGAUGCUCUGAAAAAACUGGCAUCUAGUGAGAGUCGGAAGGAGCCCGAGAGGAGGGCGGGUCCUAAACCAGCAGAGGUCAAGACCAGUCACCUGUCCCAGGCACACCUGUUGGCUGGGGCGUUCAAGCGACGCAGCUCUUCACAGUCCUCAGACAAUAGCAAGAAACAGAAGGUUGAGGAGUCUGCAGCAGGGAAUGGGGGCCGGACAGGAGGCGGGCAGAGGUGUGGUUGAGCAGGGCUCCACAGUAAAGACCGGUGUUCUCCACCUUCCAUCGGCCGCCGUGUGUGUGGGCAUCCUGCCGGGCAUGGGAGCCUACUCCGGCAGCAGCGACUCGGAGUCCAGCAGCGACAGUGAAGUUUAAAUCCCUGGCAGCCUAACCUGAUGACAUCCCCCUGUGGCUGCAGCUCUGCUAUUGGCCAAGGAAACAGUGACUGACAGCUGUGGAUCAAGGACAAGACUGCUAGACUGUCACGUCACAUUCAUACCUUACCUUAGACAACAUCAAGAAAGCGAGCCAGAGCUUAGUCUCAGACGCAAUGUAUGUGGAAAUGCUUUCCUUUGAGUUUUUGUUUGUUUAUGCGUCAGUGUGAAUAAUGCUGGAUUUUAAUGGAUUUCUUUCUCUCCAUGAAAAUGUGGGUUUCAUCAUGGGAUGAUCAAGGCUUGGGUAGAAGAAAAUUAAACCUUUUUCUGUUUUCUUUGUUUAUUUGGUGUAAAGAGUCAGCCUGGUCUCCUAGACUAGAUGUAACAUAGUAAACUAAAAUCUGCGACACUCAAAUUAGUAUAUGUUACAUUUGAUGUGGUUAAAUAAGACAGAAGGUUACUUAAGGCAAAAACUAAAGGAGGGUAGAUGAGUGGGUGUAUAAUGUGAAAGUCUAGCAACCCAAAGGUUGCCUGUUUGAAUCUCAUCACGGACAACUUGAGCAUUUUAGGUCAUUUGCAAAAAAAAAAAAAUUCUAAUUCCUAACCUUAACCCCUAGCCUAGCUGAUGUUAGCCACCUAGCUAACAUUAACCACAUCAAAUUGGAAUUUGUAACAUUGUACAAAUUGCAAUUCGUAACCUAUCACAGAUUGUAAUUCGUAACAUAUCAUACGAAAUGGAUGAUGGAUAUCCACAAAUUAAUACAUACUAAUUUGAGUGUCCCGGAUGUUUGUUUACUAUGUUACGUCUACCUCUGAGUACAGGUUGAAAGAGUUGGUGUAUGUGAGUGCAUGAAUGAAGAUAACUGGAACGAAAUACAGUUUGAGUAAAUUGGAAUUGA